AUUGAACGCUGGCGGCAGGCUUAACACAUGCAAGUCGAGCGGGGGAAGGUAGCUUGCUACCGGACCUAGCGGCGGACGGGUGAGUAAUGCUUAGGAAUCUGCCUAUUAGUGGGGGACAACAUCUCGAAAGGGAUGCUAAUACCGCAUACGUCCUAUGGGAGAAAGCAGGGGAUCUUCGGACCUUGCGCUAAUAGAUGAGCCUAAGUCGGAUUAGCUAGUUGGUGGGGUAAAGGCCUACCAAGGCGACGAUCUGUAGCGGGUCUGAGAGGAUGAUCCGCCACACGGGGACUGGGACACGGCCCAGACUCCUACGGGAGGCAGCAGUGGGGAAUAUUGGACAAUGGGGGGAACCCUGAUCCAGCCAUGCCGCGUGUGUGAAGAAGGCCUUAUGGUUGUAAAGCACUUUAAGCGAGGAGGAGGCUACUUUAGUUAAUACCUAGAGAUAGUGGACGUUACUCGCAGAAUAAGCACCGGCUAACUCUGUGCCAGCAGCCGCCGUAA
rnacentral:rRNA from 1 species